AUUGGGAGGGAGAGUGUGACCUUUCAUCCAAAGCCUCAGCGAGGCUCCAUUUGACUGUUGUAAGAUCAGAAUGAGCAUGCAGACCCACUGAGUUGACUGGCAAAGCUUUACUAUGGAUAACCACAGAUGCAACCGCAUGCUGUGUCUUUAGGAAAAUGGGAGCAAGUGGAUUGUGUCAGAUGUCCAAAUGGUAACCAUCACCUACUCAACUGGAGGAGACUAUUUUUGUGCCCGAUUUGCUUGCUGGAAACUGCAGAACUUCAAUGUCUGCAGUGAAAAUGGAAAGAAAAGAAAACCAGUUGUCUGCCUUGGUGAUGAGAGCAGAAAGUCAAGAGCAGCAAUAUAGGCAGCUAACAAGCAUUUAAUGGUGAGGGAACAAGAGAAGGGAGGAAAGGCAGGGGGCUCAAGGUCAUGGCCAAGAUAUGUUUUUCCUACUCAGAAUUAGGUCUGGGCCUGACCAUGUUCCUAUAGACCAAAUUCUGUCCUCCAGAAAUAGGUACAGUGACCCACACAUAAAAGGCAUUAUAAGCAAAUGAGGUGCCUCUUUAAUUCUUCGAUGAGCUCUAAAAGUUAUCUUUACAGUUUAGUUAUAGUCAGAGCAACUGUUAGAGAACCUUGGUUUUUUUCCCAAAGAAAAAGAGUUGCCACUGUGAGAAAUAACUGGGAUUUCCUGACAUUAAAAAAUAAUAACAGACAUAUUAGUCCCUUUAUUGUUAAGUAAAAGAAGGAAAUGGGCAGGAACCACUAUGCAUUGAAGAGGAAAGUAUUGAGCUUCCAAAUAUAUCCUGGGAAACAUGUAAUACUUCCCUGAACAUAGGGAAAUGUGGCUGAGAUUCUCAGCACAGAAGUAUGUUUGCCACAUGCAAAGCACAUAAUAGAAGUGAUAGGGACAGGGCAGAGAAAUUCUAGGCAGAAAAAGAUGGGUCCCCAGGGAAACCCCAUCCUUAUGCUGAAAAGCCUGAAACCACAGUCCAAAGUGAGAACUUAUACCCCUGUUUUCCUGCUCAAAUGUUGUCUUUUCCUAAAACCACCCAUGGCUCCCACUCCACCCUAUCCUGUGCCUAUAAAAACCCCAGAUUCAGCUGGUAGACAGGACUACAGCUGGACAUUGGAGAGAAGCAGCUUGACUUCAGAAGGACAGCUUGAUGGCAUAUAACUUCGGAGAAGCAUCCUGCCGGAGACAGCUGGGCUUCAGAGGAAGAUUACCUACCCACUCUGUCCCCUUUUCAGCUCCCCUUCCCACUGAGAGCUACUUUCAUUGGCAAUAAAGUCCCCUGCAUUUAUCAUCU
rnacentral:lncRNA from 10 species